CAUUUCUCUUCUCUCCACUCCCUCACACUCUCCUCCUCCUCUCUCCCACGAGCUGCUGCUGCCCCUUGCUCCCAUGGCCGGCCAUGGCCAUGGAAAUCCACCAAGAUGAAGCUCUCCCCCUCCCCCAAGCUUCCCCUCACCAUGAGAGCUUCCCUCUCACUCUCUUCUCCCCUAACCCUAGCUGAAUCCCUCUCUAUUUCUUCUUCCUCCAUUGCUAAGAUUGGAUCUUGAUGCAGGUGCAUGUUGGUCCAAGCAUGGAGAAGGUUGAGCAAUCCUCAGAUCUGAAGUUCUUGAGCAAAAUCCAAAUCGAGUGAUUCAAAGUUCCACAGAUAGGUAUUGAAAAGAUCUACAACUUGGCGUUGGUCUCAUCCUCAAAUUCUUUACGGAUUUUGCAUGAUCAAGAUCUGGUCAGAUCUGACUUUGUCGAAUUAAACCAGGAGCUUGGGAACGAAUUUUUGAAUGAAACCAAUUGGGUAGGAA